GGCGACGUCACAGUGGCGCUACAGUGCCUGGAGCUGCGCUGGUUUUUCCUCGGAGUGGAGCCUGGUAACCGCGACUUCCCCGCCAUGUUCUGUGUGUUGCUGGCUGGAGAAGGGUGGUUGACAAACUCCGACCCAGCACAGUGUUUCUGUGGGUCAAAACUAGAAAACUAUGUCCAGGCUCGGCCGAGGCGGAAGGAUCCGUUCAGGCCAGGAGUUAAAGAGCUGCCUGGGCAACAUGGCGCGACCCCAUCUCUGUAGUCCCACCUCAGCUUCCCAGAUACUUGAACCCCAAGGUUCAAGGCUGCAAUGAGCUAUGAUCCCAUCACAGCACUCCAUCCUGCGAGACGGAGGUAAACCUUGUCUAAAAAAAUAAACUAUCCAAGUGUACAACA
rnacentral:lncRNA from 10 species